UACGGAGGGUGCAAGCGUUAUCCGGAUUUACUGGGUUUAAAGGGUGCGUAGGUGGGUAAGUAAGUCAGUGGUGAAAUCUUCGAGCUUAACUCGGAAACUGCCAUUGAUACUAUUUAUCUUGAAUACUUUGGAGGUAAGCGGAAUAUGUCAUGUAGCGGUGAAAUGCUUAGAUAUGACAUAGAACACCAAAUUGCGAAGGCAGCUUACUACAACAGUUAUUUGACACUGAGCACGAAAAGCGUGGGGAUCAAACAGG
rnacentral:rRNA from 1 species